UCAAAGUUUGUUUUUUAACACAUAUGCAUAAACGUAUGUAAAUAUAUAAUGUAUGGAAACGUUGUAAGGAAAAUUUAUGGUUAAAAAGUGGGAAAUGCAAAAAAUAGUCAGAAGUUUUGGUAAAAAUGGAAAACUGCAAAAAAUAAUAGCCAGAAAUUAUAUAGUCAGUGGAAACUGCAAGAAGUAACUAGGAAAUUUAUACUCCGUAAGUUACAGAAAAGAUGGCAAGAUAGACAAUGUAAACAGUAUACAAAGUAAAAAAUUAAUUCCCAAUAUUGUUUUAAGGUUAUAGAUCAAGCAGUUGACAACAAGGUGACGACCCCUCAAAAUACCUUCAUUACCUAACCUGGAAGAUCACGCCAGCUUAUUCAGUUUUUCUACUAUUACAAAUUAUAGGAAAGACUGCUUUAAACUUUAUUUAAAUCAUGUAAAAUAAUGUCACUACAGUGCGAUACUUGUUUCCCACACUUAUCUUAAACACUUGAAGUCGGGCUAUUAAAUAGAAUUAUUAAAAAUAAUCUUAAAAGUAAA